rnacentral:rRNA from 1 species
GGAGUUAGCCGGUGCUUCUUCUGUGAGUGAUGUCCUUCCUGCCGGCUAUUAACCCGCAGGCCUUCUUCCUCACUGAAAGUGCUUUACAACCCGAAGGCCUUCUUCACACACGCGGCAUGGCUGGAUCAGGGUUGCCCCCAUUGUCCAAUAUUCCCCACUGCUGCCUCCCGUAGGAGUCUGGGCCGUGUCUCAGUCCCAGUGUGGCUGAUCAUCCUCUCAGACCAGCUACGGAUCGUCGCCUUGGUGAGCCGUUACCUCACCAACCAGCUAAUCCGACAUAGGCUCAUCCGAUAGCGCGAGGCCCGAAGGUCCCCCGCUUUCCCCCGUAGGGCGUAUGCGGUAUUAGCCUGGGUUUCCCCAGGUUAUCCCCCACUACCGGGCAGAUUCCUAUGCAUUACUCACCCGUCCGCCGCUCGCCACCAGGGAGCAAGCUCCCCGUGCUGCCGCUCGACUUGCAUGUGUUAGGCCUGCCGCCAGCGUUCAAUCUGAGCCAGANANAACAACUCANACAGAGGCGNGUCGACGACGGCG